rnacentral:rRNA from 1 species
UACGGAGGGUCCAAGCGUUAUCCGGAUUCAUUGGGUUUAAAGGGUCCGUAGGCGGAAGAAUAAGUCAGUGGUGAAAUCCUGCAGCUCAACUGUAGAACUGCCAUUGAAACUGUUUUUCUUGAGUAUAGAUGAAGUGGGCGGAAUGUGUCAUGUAGCGGUGAAAUGCAUAGAUAUGACACAGAACACCGAUUGCGAAGGCAGCUCACUAAACUAUUACUGACGCUGAGGGACGAAAGCGUGGGGAGCGAACAGG